rnacentral:rRNA from 1 species
AUUGAACGCUGGCGGCAGGCUUAACACAUGCAAGUCGAGCGGAGAUGAGGUGCUUGCACCUUAUCUUAGCGGCGGACGGGUGAGUAAUGCUUAGGAAUCUGCCUAUUAGUGGGGGACAACAUUCCGAAAGGAAUGCUAAUACCGCAUACGCCCUACGGGGGAAAGCAGGGGAACUUCGGACCUUGCGCUAAUAGAUGAGCCUAAGUCGGAUUAGCUAGUUGGUGGGGGAAAGGCCUACCAAGGCGACGAUCUGUAGCGGGUCUGAGAGGAUGAUCCGCCACACUGGGACUGAGACACGGCCCAGACUCCUACGGGAGGCAGCAGUGGGGAAUACUGGACAAUGGGCGGAAGCCUGAUCCAGCCAUGCCGCGUGUGUGAAGAAGGCCUUUUGGUUGUAAAGCACUUUAAGCGAGGAGGAGGCUACCUGGAUUAAUACUUUAGGAUAGUGGACGUUACUCGCAGAAUAAGCACCGGCUAACUCUGUGCCAGCCGCCGCAGUAACAC